CCUACGGGGGGCUGCAGUGGGGAAUAUUGGACAAUGGGGGCAACCCUGAUCCAGCCAUGCCGCGUGUGUGAAGAAGGCCCUCGGGUUGUAAAGCACUUUCAGUGAGGAAGAACGCCUGGUGGUUAAUACCCAUCAGGAAAGACAUCACUCACAGAAGAAGCACCGGCUAACUCCGUGCCAGCAGCCGCGGUAAUACGGAGGGUGCAAGCGUUAAUCGGAAUUACUGGGCGUAAAGCGCGCGUAGGUGGCUUGAUAAGCCGGUUGUGAAAGCCCCGGGCUCAACCUGGGAACGGCAUCCGGAACUGUCAAGCUAGAGUGCAGGAGAGGAAGGUAGAAUUCCCGGUGUAGCGGUGAAAUGCGUAGAGAUCGGGAGGAAUACCAGUGGCGAAGGCGGCCUUCUGGACUGACACUGACACUGAGGUGCGAAAGCGUGGGUAGCAAACAGGAUUAGAUACCCCGGUAGUC
rnacentral:rRNA from 1 species